rnacentral:rRNA from 1 species
UACGUAGGGGCUAGCGUUAUCCGGAUUUACUGGGCGUAAAGGGUGCGUAGGUGGUUUCUUAAGUCAGAGGUGAAAGGCUACGGCUCAACCGUAGUAAGCCUUUGAAACUGGGAAACUUGAGUGCAGGAGAGGAGAGUGGAAUUCCUAGUGUAGCGGUGAAAUGCGUAGAUAUUAGGAGGAACACCAGUAGCGAAGGCGGCUCUCUGGACUGUAACUGACGCUGAGGCACGAAAGCGUGGGGAGCAAACAGGAUUAGAUACCCUGGUAGUCCCUGAG